GCCCGCUUGGCUUAGUGGUACAGCGUCUCACUCGUAUUAUGGCGACAUGAGAAGAUCCUCGGUUCGAUUCCGAGAGUGGGCA